UACAGAGGGUGCAAGCGUUGUUCGGAUUCACUGGGCGUAAAGGGUGCGUAAGUGGUGGGGUAAGUCGGAUGUGAAAGCUCGGAGCUUAACUCCGAAAUUGCAUUGGAAACUACCCUGCUAGAGGGUCGGAGGGGGGACUGGAAUACUUAGGUGUAGCAGUGAAAUGCGUAGAAUAUCAAGUGGAACACCAGUGGCGAAGGCGAGU
rnacentral:rRNA from 1 species